AAGCUGACCUAUCAUAAAUCCUUGUGAUGAGAAACCUGUCUCACCUGGCUUCCAAGCAGCUGCGGCAGAGGAAAUGUGCUUUAACCUUUCUAGAGAAAAGACUCGUGGGACAUAAUUGAAGGAAAGUGUUUUUCUUUAGCAGAUGGAUUGCUUUGAUAUCAAUGGUCUCAGCAGUAAUAAUGACAACACACAUCCUUGAAAUCCUUGUCCAGAUGUCCAUAGUUUCUGCCCUGAUGGAUAUUUUGAAGAUGACUAUACAGCCCUCUGGACUCUGGACAUCUCAGCUGCCUGUGUUGGCCCUGCUGCCUCCACUGUGUCCACCCUCCACAAUUACCCAAGAGAGAAUGUGGUCCUUGACAGAAAACCCCCCUCAGAUAAGGCUUACUUCUGAGUCGAUAUGUCGAUUCAGCUUUGUUUGAAACCAGCUCCUAAGGUGAAAGUAAAACCUACAUUGGUUACAGCAUGCUUACGAUUU